rnacentral:rRNA from 1 species
UACGAAGGGGGCUAGCGUUGCUCGGAAUCACUGGGCGUAAAGCGCGCGCAGGCGGUCCUUUAAGUCUGAUGUGAAAGCCCACGGCUCAACCGUGGAGGGUCAUUGGAAACUGGGGGACUUGAGUGCAGGAGAGAAGAGUGGAAUUCCUGGUGUAGCGGUGAAAUGCGCAGAUAUCAGGAGGAACACCGGUGGCGAAGGCGGGUCUCUGGGCCGAUACUGACGCUGAGGAGCGAAAGCGUGGGGAGCAAACAGG